rnacentral:rRNA from 1 species
ACGAACGCUGGCGGCGUGCUUAACACAUACAAGUCGAACGGAAAGGCCCUGCUUUUGUGGGGUGCUCGAGUGGCGAACGGGUGAGUAACACGUGAGUAACCUGCCCUUGACUUUGGGAUAACUUCAGGAAACUGGGGCUAAUACCGGAUAGGAGCUCCUGCUGCAUGGUGGGGGUUGGAAAGUUUCGGCGGUUGGGGAUGGACUCGCGGCUUAUCAGCUUGUUGGUGGGGUAGUGGCUUACCAAGGCUUUGACGGGUAGCCGGCCUGAGAGGGUGACCGGCCACAUUGGGACUGAGAUACGGCCCAGACUCCUACGGGAGGCAGCAGUGGGGAAUAUUGCACAAUGGGCGGAAGCCUGAUGCAGCAACGCCGCGUGCGGGAUGACGGCCUUCGGGUUGUAAACCGCUUUCGCCUGUGACGAAGCGUGAGUGACGGUAAUGGGUAAAGAAGCACCGGCUAACUACAUG